rnacentral:rRNA from 1 species
GAACGCUGGCGGCGUGCUUAACCUCAUGCAAGUCGAACGGUGAACACGGAGCUUGCUCUGUGGGAUCAGUGGCGAACGGGUGAGUAACACGUGAGCAACCUGCCCCUGACUCUGGGAUAAGCGCUGGAAACGGCGUCUAAUACUGGAUAUGUGACGUGACCGCAUGGUCUGCGUCUGGAAAGAAUUUCGGUUGGGGAUGGGCUCGCGGCCUAUCAGCUUGUUGGUGAGGUAAUGGCUCACCAAGGCGUCGACGGGUAGCCGGCCUGAGAGGGUGACCGGCCACACUGGGACUGAGACACGGCCCAGACUCCUACGGGAGGCAGCAGUGGGGAAUAUUGCACAAUGGGCGCAAGCCUGAUGCAGCAACGCCGCGUGAGGGACGACGGCCUUCGGGUUGUAAACCUCUUUUAGCAGGGAAGAAGCGAAAGUGACGGUACCUGCAGAGAAAGCGCCGGCUAACUACGUGCCAGCAGCCGCGGUAAUACGUAGGGCGCAAGCGUUAUCCGGAAUUAUUGGGCGUAAAGAGCUCGUAGGCGGUUUGUCGCGUCUGCUGUGAAAUCCGGAGGCUCAACCUCCGGCCUGCAGUGGGUACGGGCAGACUAGAGUGCGGUAGGGGAGAUUGGAAUUCCUGGUGUAGCGGUGGAAUGCGCAGAUAUCAGGAGGAACACCGAUGGCGAAGGCAGAUCUCUGGGCCGUAACUGACGCUGAGGAGCGAAAGGGUGGGGAGCAAACAGGCUUAGAUACCCUGGUAGUCCACCCCGUAAACGUUGGGAACUAGUUGUGGGGUCCAUUCCACGGAUUCCGUGACGCAGCUAACGCAUUAGGGCUCCCCGCCUGGGGAGUGCGGCCGCAAGGCUA